GAAGGUCCAUAGUCCACAUCCAGCUCCUCCAAAAGUUGUCUCCUUCUCUCAGGAGCAUCUUUCCUGUUUGCAGGCAGAUUCGUUGUUUGGAGGAACAUGGCUGUCAUGGAAGGUUGUGGUCAGAGAAGGGGAAGGAGGUCUUACAGGAUAUAUAACUUCACUCCGAGAUCUGAGUUGAAGUGAUGUAAACACUACACCGUUCACAAUUUCUUCAGACCAGUUCAUUCACCAAAGGUGUUCUUUCAGAAUCAGACAGCAGACAGGGAGAGAUGAAUAUCUAAAUUAAUAUCAGCUUUGGAAAACUUCUGUAAAGAGACCGUGAUACACUGCCAGCAUCCUUAUGCUUGGGUCCUACCUAAAGAGAAAAAAACCAUUGGGAUACGAAGUGUCUUGGAAAGAAUGCAGAGUCUACUCUGAGGAGCUUGCAGUACUGAGAUCUACUCCUGCACUAGGCCAUGUUUAUUCAUCAAAUGGAGAAACACUCCCUGUGUCAGGGAUAUUAUCUGCAUUAGUCAUCUA